rnacentral:rRNA from 1 species
UACGGAGGGAGCUAGCGUUGUUCGGAAUUACUGGGCGUAAAGCGUACGUAGGCGGCUUGUUAAGUCAGAGGUGAAAGCCCACGACUCAAUCGUGGAACUGCCUUUGAGACUGCUUCGCUUGAAGAUGGGAGAGGUUAGUGGAAUUCCGAGUGUAGAGGUGAAAUUCGUAGAUAUUCGGAAGAACACCAGUGGCGAAGGCAGCUUACUAAAGUGUGAUUGACGCUGAGGCGCGAAAGCGUGGGGAUCAAACAGG